rnacentral:lncRNA from 1 species
UAUGGAGAAAAUUUUAGCCUUGAUUGACGUCUGAUAUGGGCAAUGCUACCAUGUAACAGAAGGAAAAGUUUGAAUUUUACGGGUUUUGAAUUCUAAAAAGACAUCUUAACAGGUGUUGGACAAUUUAUUUGUACAUAUUUGACGAAUUUUCUGAUAAUCUGCUUUCUUCUUAACCUCUUAUUUUUUAGUGACUUUAGAUAGAUUAAAAAAAAUUAACAUGUUCAUUAAGUAUUAUUUUCUCAUAACCUUCUUUCUUUUUGAGCUCUUAUUGUUUAGUGAUUUUGAGUUGCUUUAUUCUAAAUUUGUUUUUACAUAAGAUCAUAAUCUAACAGAUCUCUUGAUUGAUGCUUAGAUAUCUCUUCAGUACAAAUUUUGGAUGAAGGUAAUGAAUAUGGUACUCAAAGAAUUGAACAAUGUGAGUCAAUAUCCCGUAUGCAUGUACUUGAGGUAAUAUCACUUUCUUCCUGUACCACAUGGUUCUUCACUUCACCCAACUUGUGCUUGUUGUUGGCUUUUGUUCACAUUCAUUAUGAAUUUUACUGCUUCAGCUUUGUUGGAUUAGUAUUCUUAGUACUCAAUUGUCUAUCUUCCGUAAUCAAUUAUCUAUCUAUUGUGGAAGAUUGUUAAUUACAACUAUUAUUUGACCACUUUUUAACUCAAAUAUCACUAUUACAAAAUUUAGCGACAGUAAAUAUAUAAUUUAUCAAAAAAUUCUUAAUUAAAUUUUUACCGACAUUAGUUAAUUAUUAUUGAACCAAUAUCACUAAUAACUAAUAAGUUAAGAAAACAACUUACGGAUAUUAUUUUGCUCCAAACCUAAUGUUGAUAGGUUAUAUACAUAUAUUUAUAUGUUUUUUUAAUCACGAUUAUCGAUAAACCCACGAAGUUAGAUUUUUGUUCUAUAUUUUAUUAUUAUUAUUAUUAUUAUUAUUAUUAUUAUUAUUAUUAUUAUUGGUAUUAGAUGUGUGAAUCUAACUAUGUAAUUAUUCACUAUAUGUUGACAAACCUAUACUAUGUGAUUCUUAUUUUGUAGAAUAUGUAUUUGAGUUAAUUAAUUUGUAUUAACUAGGCUCUCAGAGAAUGAUAUCAUAAACUUGGUUUUUCAGAAUGAAAAUUGUGCGGAAAAAUUAACGUAGAUCAAAUAUAAUCUUUUUCUUGUGCCUUUUUAUUUUACGUUUCUUUCCUUUUCUUCUUAUUCCUUUAUCUAACAAUAAAAAGGCACUUGAACAUUGAGAUUUAAAGUCAGCCUUUUGUUGAUUUAACCAUGCAUGCUAUUUUUUCUUAAAAAAAUCAUAUUCCUUUAUUUCUAACCCAAUCUUUUUUCUAUUUGAAAUCUUUGGCUUUUUAUAUAUGUCUAUGUUGCGCACUUACAAACUCUUAUGAUUCUUUAUCAUCUGCCUAGGAAAUUAUAGACUUUUAGCCUAUAUUUUUAGUUAGUGGAUGUGGUUAUUGAAGAACUUAUAAAGUUCAUGUUCCACCUAUUCUAAAUAUUAGAAGACCAUAUAGUCAUACGGACAUGUUUGUUAUCCUCUUUUGGUUACAAUUAUAAUAUGAGAAUAUAAAUUUUCUAUAUUAGGAGAACCAUAUUAACCUUGUGAUAGGAGUUCUUGCACUCUUAUUUUACAUCUAUUUGACGAUUAGCCGGUUCAGGGAGGGUCAAACUCAUAAAGUGUGAUAUAGACAGCCUAACCCAAAAUAUUAGUGGUUGCUUUUAUAAUUUGAAUCUGUGACCUUUAGAUCACACAGCGAUAAUUUUAUCAUUGUUUCAAGACUCCUUUUUGUUGUGUUAAAUUGGAUCAACCAAACACUAAUUUGUUUUUGGUUAGAAUUCCAAAAGAAGCUCAACAUAUAAAAUAUAAAGAGUACUAAUAAUGAAUACUAAAAUAGUUUAUUUUCUUACCUAUUUAGCAUUAUAGUUAGUUUUUUUUUUCGGAGUCUUUACUUUAUUAAUUUCUUUGGUAUUCUAGCAUUAGUUAGUUAGUUUUUUUUUUUUUAAAAAAAAUAAAGUCUUUUACUUAUUUUAUUUUUUCUUUCCUAUUUUAAUGUGAAUGUAACCCUUUAUUUUAGUAACGGACUCUCAAUUAUGGUAUUUUAAUUUGUAAUAGAUUCUAUGAUACAAUCUAUAUAUGUCCCUUUUCACAAAUUUUUGCAAUAGAUUGCCUAGAUUUUGUUUAUAUUUAUUUUUAGUUUCUAAUGUAUGUAUUUGAAUACAAUUUGUAAUUUGAUUAUGUUAUAAAGAUUAUAUUUAAUCGUAUUGUUUUGAUAACACGGUCAUAUUAUAGUUUCUGUUAUGUUAUUAUCUGGUGUUUUUUUGUUUGUUUGUUUAAUAUAGGUAGUAGAUAGAAUAUUUGAUUGGACUUUGAUGAAAUCUUUUUGUAAAGGAAAAUUUUAAUCGUUUGAAUUUUAAAAUUUAUAAAGUACCCCAUAAGUUGAACGGAGAGAGUAUAUUUUUUCUUCUUUUUGAUUCAUAUACUAUAUGUAGAAUCAUAUUUUUAUGCCAAACAUUCAUUCAAAUUAGUCUAUUCUCAUUAUGUCUAUCGAUUUUCUUUUUUACAAGAGUACAACGUAUAUUAUGCGUAUUAGAAUUUUAGAAAUCAGCACGAUAGUCUAAUUUUACUUGAAAAAUAUUGCAGGUUCUUGGAUCACUAUACAACAAUAAUGACAAAAAAAAGUUUGAUUAUGUGGUAGUGCAUACUCUUAAUGAAUUCAAUAAAUUAAUGCGAUGGUCUGAUAGAUAACUUGUGGAUCAUAGAGGAAGAAUGUCGGGGUAGUCUUCUACAUUUGUUUCUAUUGUAGGUCCGUCUAACACCUUUAUAUAUCAUUGAUGAAUUCAACAAUUUGACAUUUCUUAUUUGAAAUGAGUUAUAGUGUUAUAUGAACUUGACCAAGUUUAAUGUCACACCUUUCUUUUUAACUUGUGCAAAUUUUUGUGCAUUCAAAAAUAAUUUCAUCC